rnacentral:rRNA from 1 species
CCUCGGGGGGCAGCAGUGGGGAAUAUUGCACAAUGGGGGAAACCCUGAUGCAGCGACGCCGCGUGAGUGAAGAAGUAAUUCGUUAUGUAAAGCUCUAUCAGCAGGGAAGAAAAUGACGGUACCUGAGUAAGAAGCCCCGGCUAACUACGUGCCAGCAGCCGCGGUAAUACGUAGGGGGCAAGCGUUAUCCGGAUUUACUGGGUGUAAAGGGGGCGCAGACGGCGAUGCAAGCCAGGAGUGAAAGCCCGGGGCCCAACCCCGGGACUGCUCUUGGAACUGCGUGGCUAGAGUGCAGGAGGGGCAGG